CUGGUCUUGAACUCCUUCCUGACCUCAAGUGAUCUGCCAACCUUGGCCUCCCAAAGUGCUGGGAUUACAGGCAUGAGACACUGCGCCUGGCCAAAACUGUUGAUUUAUAUUGUUAGAGUCAGACAUUUUCUGUGUGCCAACCCCUACUCAUCUGCUUUUCAAAUUUCCAAUUUCCACACAUUGAUUUUAUAUUAUAUUUGGCAUGUUAAACACUAGUAUUGGUUUCACUGAAUGGUAAUAUAAAUGCUGAGGAGCUCGGACAUCUUAGGAAUAUGGUUGUCAUUUAUCAUCUAUUAACCAGUUGAGCAACUUCCAGGCAAAUGAGGUGUGCAGCAGGGAGGGGGGAGAUGUACGUGCAUGGUUUCCUUUGUAAUGGAGAACUUCAGAUCCUGGGAAGGAUUUGCAGCGUUUCGUGGGUCUGUUCAUCUCUCUGCAGUUAAUAAUUACUGAUUCGUGUGUGAAGCAGAACUGAGGGCAGCGAAGGAUGUGGGAUGGCUGCAGGAGAUAUGAGUUUGUAGCCAGAGUUUACAGGUGAUGCAUCACUCUCUGAUCAAAGCAGAAAGCUGGGAGCUGCGGAGGAUGCACCUUGACCCUAGGGUGCGAUCCAGGAAGUCAGGGAUUUGUGAAGGGCAUCAUACGUCACAGAUGCCCUUUCAGAGUUACCAGAACUUGGGGUCCAAUGGACAUUUAUCUCUCUUAGUCCAGGUUCAGGUUUGAUUCCCGAUCCCUUGCAUUUACACGAGUCACAGGGCAGAAAAGUGCAGACCUGUUCUUGUGUGACCUCCAGGUGUGGUGCACUGAUGGUAGAUGGUACUCUUAUCAUUAGAGCUGAUUUGCUUUGGAAUUAAAGAGAGACUUAACACUGUGCUUCUGUGGCCGAUCACAGUUUCCACUGACAGUGCCAUGUGUCAUUUGGGGUAACAUUGGCUUGUGUGAGGAAAAGACCAUAAGGCAGGAUUGGAGUAGUUUCUGGAAAAAAGAAAUAAAUGCUUAGUAGGGUGUCAUACGUCUUUUAAUGACAAGUAUUUGAUGAACAUGCUUUUGUUAUCCACCCUUCUGCAGGAAAAGAAACCAAGUUAGUCUUCCUAAGUUUACAGAUUGGAGGGUUUUUAGUACAACCUGUCUUUCCCCCUCUCCCUUCUUCCUCUUUUCCUAUUAUAGUUAAGAGGGUGAAAUUUAGGUGCAAAAUGAUACUGUUAAAAUUUAGUGACUUUUGCUCAUCUGUUGCUAAAAAAGUUAAUAAUGUGAUUUUUUUAACUUGGACUGAUUUUGAUAUAAUGCAGGGGGUUUCUAUAAAUAGAUUUGUUUUUAAUGUAAUUGACAACUCCAUAAGUUACUUUACAGAAAUUUAAAUUUCUCUAGAAAUUACAGCAGUAUACACUGCAUACAUUCUCCUUUAAGCAAAAUUGACAGAAAACAAUUUACUCCUCUGUUAGGAACUUGCUUUUCCCUCACUUGCUCAUCUCGUGAUGGGGAAGCAUGUAUUGUCUCAUGUAAUUGACCUCCUGAGCCGUAUGGCACCCUCGAGUGAAUCAGGUACAAACAGCCUCUGCCCAGGCAUUUUCUUAAUGUCCACAAAGGCUCACUGACUUCAGAUUAGCUAUUUGUGUUCUUUAACUUGUUGCCACAAUUUAAAACCAGGUCAGCAUUUUCUGCACAGAGCGAUCAUAGGCAGCACCUCAUCUGCUGUGCUCGGCCUCUUUGUCACGCGUUCCACAGAGGGGCGUGAAGCACGAGGCCCAUGUGCCUUCGCCAUUUUGCAGGGUUGUUCUGGGACAAAGUGAUAGGGUUUUUGGCUUGAACAAAACAUCUACGUUCUUCGUUCUUAGGGAGCGACAGUUCCACUGCCGAGAUGUGGACAUCACUUUUCUUCAAGCUUGUGUGCCGCUCAUAUCCACUGCUAUUCACUUGCACAAUAUUUUUUUCCUAAGAUUGGAAACUACAUUUUGAUAAUGCUGGCAGUGAGGGUGCAAGGAAAGAAAUUACCUGUUUUUAUAAACACAUAGCAACUGACAUUUUUUUUUGACGUUUAAAAGCUGUAUUUAAGGAAGAUCUCAUAGAAAGUUUUAAUAUUUCAGAAUGAAAAAAGGUCUUAAAUUUGUUAGCCAAAUAGCAAACGAAUUCAUUCAACCAAAAGACUUAUUGAACAUCCCUGAGUAAAGGUGUAUGUGUUAGGAAAUGUGCUUCCUGGAUGAACACAACAGAGGCAUCCCUCCCUCAUGAUACCCACAGUCUAGGGAGUGACAGGCAAUAAUUAAGUAACUUUUAAAAAUCUAUAGCUGUAAACUAAAGCAAACUAUGGCAAGUCCAUGGAAAGAGAGGUUAGAGCCUAGAGAGAGGGGAACCAGAUGGAGCCGGGGUCAGGGGCUGCCAGACACACACAGUGGCCUAAGGGCGGGAAGGGGCCCCACUGGAAGCCUUAAAUAAGUGUCUGUAUAGAAUGGAUGCAUGUGAAUGAAGAAGAGAAGGUUGCACUUUGUGCAUUGUGAUGUCCAAGGUGUCCCGGAGCCAGUUUCUCCACUUUCUUUUUCGCUUCUUUGUCAUGGCUGGCAGUUGGGCCCUCGUUCUGUGCAUCAGCUUCACCAUCAAAAGCAAAUGAAAAAGAGAAGGGAAUGGAAUGCUCACUUUCUAGACCUUACUUUAAAUUCUGUUGAAGAUUUAUGAAUAUUUGGGAGAGAGUUUGAAAUGAUAAUCCAAAAGAUGUCUCCCUUUGAACAUAUGUAGAAGUUGAUCAUUUAGAUUAACUUGCAUUUGAACGCUUAAUUGUAUGUGAUUGUAUACAUUUUUUGGCUCACAGUUUUGUGUUCAAAGGCAGACUUCCUAAGGUAGUGCUGAUUUAUCCUGCUUCUUUUAGGCUAUAUAAUUCACUUUUAAAAAAAUUAAUUUGGGGAAAAUGAUGGUCACUAUAGUUAUAUAUUUUUUUCUUUAAAAACUUGUGACAUUUUAUUAAGUUAUCCACCCAAAUCUUCCUCCCCAAAAAUAACAUAAUAUCUUU